rnacentral:rRNA from 1 species
UGCAAGUCGAACGCUGAAGCUCAGCUUUUGUUGGGUGGAUGAGUGGCGAACGGGUGAGUAACACGUGAGUAACCUGCCCCCUUCUUUGGGAUAACGCCCGGAAACGGGUGCUAAUACUGGAUAUUCACUGGCCUUCGCAUGGGGGUUGGUGGAAAGGGUUUUUCUGGUGGGGGAUGGGCUCGCGGCCUAUCAGCUUGUUGGUGGGGUGAUGGCCUACCAAGGCUUUGACGGGUAGCCGGCCUGAGAGGGUGACCGGUCACAUUGGGACUGAGAUACGGCCCAGACUCCUACGGGAGGCAGCAGUGGGGAAUAUUGCACAAUGGGCGCAAGCCUGAUGCAGCGACGCCGCGUGAGGGAUGGAGGCCUUCGGGUUGUGAACCUCUUUCGCUCAUGGUCAAGCCGCAACAAUGGUUGUGGUGAGGGUAGUGGGUAAAGAAGCGCCGGCUAACUACGUGCCAGCAGCCGCGGUAAUACGUAGGGCGCGAGCGUUGUCCGGAAUUAUUGGGCGUAAAGGGCUUGUAGGCGGUUGGUCGCGUCUGCCGUGAAAUCCUCUGGCUUAACUGGGGGCGUGCGGUGGGUACGGGCUGACUUGAGUGCGGUAGGGGAGACUGGAACUCCUGGUGUAGCGGUGGAAUGCGCAGAUAUCAGGAAGAACACCGGUGGCGAAGGCGGGUCUCUGGGCCGUUACUGACGCUGAGGAGCGAAAGCGUGGGGAGCG